CCUUUAUUACCCAUAAGGGGUGCAACCUGCUCAAUGGCUGGAAAUAAAUAAAAUAAAUACAGUUAAAUAGCCGCGGUAACUCUGACCGUGAUAAAGUAGCAUAAUCACUUGUCACUUAAUUAGUGAAUGGAAUGAAUGGUUAAACGAAUCCUACACUGUCUCAAUAAGAAAUCCAAUAAAAUUGGAAUUGUAGUGAAGAUACUACAUAAAGAUUGCAAGACGAAAAGACCCUAUUGAGCUUUACUGAAUACUUAUAUACCAAUACAGAAAAUAAAAAAUAUAUCUCCCAUCAACUAUAAGUAAGACAGUUUGGUUGGGGCGACCACCUCUAAAAUAGUAACAGAGGAGAUCUAAAGGUUAUUUAAAUGUAUAUAAACCUAACUGAAAUAGCUAUAACUUAAACAGAUAUAAAAUGUAGGACAUAAUGACCCGUUAUAUACUAAUUCAAAAUAUAACGACUACAAAAAAAGUUACCAUAGGGAUAACAGGGUAAUAUUUUCUAAGAGUUCUAAUCGACGAAAAUGUUUGCCACCUCGAUGUUGAAUUGUGAUAUCCAAGGGGUGCAGCAGCUCCUAAGGGUUGGUCUGUUCGACCAUUAAAAU
rnacentral:rRNA from 1 species